AUGAGCAUCAGGCUCCUGUGCUGUGUGGCCUUUUCUCUCCUGUGUGCAGAUCACACAGGUGCUGGAGUCUCCCAGUCCCCCAGUAACAAAGUCACAGAGAAGGGAAAGGAUGUAGCGCUCAGGUGUGAUCCAAUUUCAGGUCAUGCUGUCCUUUACUGGUACCGACAGAACCUGGGGCAGGGCCUAGAGUUUCUAAUUUACUUCCAAGGCACGGGUGCAGUAGAUGACUCAGGGCUGCGCAGUGAUCGGUUCUCUGCAACAAGGCCUGAAGGAUCCGUCUCUACUCUGAAGAUCCAACGCACAGAGCAGGGGGACUCAGCCAUGUACUUCUGUGCCAGCAGCUUAACCACAGCAUGA